rnacentral:rRNA from 1 species
CCUACGGGAGGCUGCAGUGGGGAAUAUUGCACAAUGGGGGAAACCCUGAUGCAGCGACGCCGCGUGAGUGAAGAAGUAUUUCGGUACGUAAAGCUCUAUCAGCAGGGAAGAAAAUGACGGUACCUGACUAAGAAGCCCCGGCUAACUACGUGCCAGCAGCCGCGGUAAUACGUAGGGGGCAAGCGUUAACCGGAUGUACUGGGUGUAAAGGGAGCGUAGACGGCAGCGCAAGUCUGGAGUGAAAUCCCAUGGCUUAACCAUGGAACUGCUUUGGAAACUGUGCAGCUAGAGUGCAGGAGAGGUAAGCGGAAUUCCUAGUGUAGCGGUGAAAUGCGUAGAUAUUAGGAGGAACACCAGUGGCGAAGGCGGCUUACUGGACUGUAACUGACGUUGAGGCUCGAAAGCGUGGGGAGCAAACAGGAUUAGAUACCCCAGUAGUC